rnacentral:rRNA from 1 species
UACGUAGGGUGCGAGCGUUGUCCGGAAUUACUGGGCGUAAAGAGCUCGUAGGUGGUUUGUCGCGUUGUCCGUGAAAACUCACAACUCAAUUGUGGGCGUGCGGGCGAUACGGGCAGACUGGAGUACUGCAGGGGAGACUGGAAUUCCUGGUGUAGCGGUGGAAUGCGCAGAUAUCAGGAGGAACACCGGUGGCGAAGGCGGGUCUCGUGGGCAGUAACUGACGCUGAGAAGCGAAAGCGUGGGGAGCGAACAGG